rnacentral:lncRNA from 1 species
AUGAAUAUGAAUGGUGAUUCUAUCUUUGGAAGGCAGAAGAUGAGAUGAAUUGUCUUUUAGUGGUCAAGUCUGAUAGAUAUCCUUUUUUAUGUGUUGGUAUUGAGUCUUGUAAAAGAUUUUUCAAAGUGGAAAUAAGUUUUCCCGAGAGAGAAAGAUAAGAAAUAAAGGAUUGGAAACUCCUACUGUGAAAUUCUAGCCCUAUUUCUAAUGCUAGGUUAAUAGUUGGUAUUUGUGAUCCUAAAGGCCUAUGAUUCUAAUGAGAGAUUUGCUCCUGACUUCAGGAUGAUCACAGUUUUACUCCUAUGGAGCAGUUGGGCUUUCCUAGGAAAGGAAGUUGUUUGCAGGCUUCUUGAAGAAAUGGAACAAAAAUCAUUAUAGCAGAGGUCAAUCACUGGAUCUGACUAAUGGUGAUGAUAUUAAAGAACACAGACUGGAAGAUUCUAGUCAUUAUCCCAACCCAGACUGGCCAGGAGCAUAUUGGUCUGAUCCAGGGAGAGUCCAUACAUGUGCUCAGCUGUGUUAGGAGAAGGAAGGACAGUGUUCGACCUACAAACUUCCAGCAUUCACCAAGACAGAAGACAUUAUUUUUUUCUGUUAUGUUUUUGCAGCAUAUUGCAUUACAUCUAACCUAGAAAUGUCAUAAAUACAUAAUUUUGAUGAUGAAAUAAUUCCAGCAUUUUCUACACAAGAUGCUACACCAGUCUGUCCAUGUAGUUCAAGAAUAUUUCUCUACUAUGCUAGUUAAAUCAGAUUGGCUGCUGGUGUUGGCAUAGUUAUAGGAUGUGUGUAGGUCUUUCUAUAUUUGGGGUAGGUGAGUGCAGGUGUAUACAUAUUUUUAUGUAUAAAAUUCAUAAAUACUGGAAAAUACACAGUGAGGCAUACUGUAAAAGCUUAUGCUUUAAGAAAAUACUGCUAUGGGUCUAUUAUCUAGUGCUAGGGUGACAAGGAACUAACGAAGAAUUGAAACCUCCAUUUCACUGGCCUUACAAAUAAUUGAGGGGAUAAAUCAAAGGAUACUGAACCUUGGUUGCUCUACAGUCUUGUGCCAAGUCCAAGGAGAUGGAAGAAGCUACAUGUAAAAUAGAUGCCAAGAGCAUCAGAGGUAAAGACCCUAAUGAUUUCUGACUCCUGGCAUUUCCCUGAUUUGUAGCUGACAGAGACUGAUUUGUUUGGAAGCAUAUGGUUCAGCAUAGUUUACUACUUUCCAGGGAUAUUGUUAUUUCUUGUAACACUUCACUUUCUUUCCUAAAAGAAUCAGCCUGCUAAAUCAAUUUCCUUUUCCUUUUCUACCUCUACUUCUUCCAAUCAUCUCUUGAAUUGGAGGCCUUCCUUAUAAUUACUGACAUAAUUUAAAAAUGGUCUUAUUUGGAACCUUUAUGUAAACAUCCAUUAUUUAUAGAAUCAGUUACCUGGCGUGGUCAGUCGCUACGCCUUGGUCUUGCAGUAUCUGCUGCUUGCAUGAAACCUAAGCCAGCUAAUAGCAAACUGUCUUUGGGAAAAACACAAGUAAAUAUAUGCAGUUAUUAACAACAUGCAAUAUUUGAUGUUAUUAGAUACAAAUCUUUCAUGAGGACACCAAAAUGUAUUUUGGUGCCUAUGAGUAAUGAAGGUGAAGGUCUCAGAACAGGGAAGGAACUGCCAUAUCUCUGUAACUUGUCCCACAGUCAUAGCAUAUUCUUCCUUAAGAACAUGUGGGAUAAACUCUGGAUUUUGUGUAAUGUUUGAAAUGAUGUCUCUUUGUUCUCUAAAGGAUGUAUGUGGAAAUUUUGUAAUUGACAUUUGACCUGAGCACACAGUAAUCUUUAUAGAUGCAAGGUAGAUGUCUCCAAAAACUCACUCAUCCUGUAAUCUUCCUUAUUGUCACUAUUCAGAGCAUUAAUUCUUUUCUUUAAGCACCUUUCUUUGCUAUUUGCCAGUUAACUUCUCUUACUUCCUAGAGAUUGUGAAAUUACUUUUGAUUAAAGUUUUUUGCAUUGAUAAUUCCAGUGACAAAACUGAAAGCUUUUACAAUUGAAAGUAAAAUUGAAAGCUUUAUAAUUUUAAUGCUGUUCAGGAUUUUGUUGCUUACCUUUUUUUCAUCUUUGGAAUAAGGAAAAUUCCUUACGCUUUUUUCAACUGUCCUCAAUUAAACAGUUACUACUGCCAUAAACAUUGCUAACUCUCAUUUGACACAUUCUUAUGAGAAAAACAGCGCACAUGCUUUUCACUCCUCUCUGUUCUGAGUUUUGAGGUCCUCUUCCUUCAGAAUUAGAAAAACUAAAUUAAUUUUCUGGGACUUCACCUGGAGUCAAGUUUUCCCUUAUAGGUAGGCGUGUGGCACCUUAUUCAUUGUUAUCCAGAGCAAUCCCACUGAAAGUUGAUUCCCUCUAUCAACUACCUCAAGUUAUGCCUGAUGUUAAUGGUAUGCAGUGUUCACAUAAACCUUGAUAGCAGACUAUUCUGUUUCUAAAAGCUAGAAGGCAAAGAGAAAGAUUUAAUAUUUAUUGUAUUUAAAAAAAAUAAUUAGUAAUACUUAGAACUAUUUGAGUUGGAUUCAUUAUUUAAUAUUUUGGGCAGGUGAUGCUGACUGACUGUUCACCACUGUGAGGAAAAGGCCAUCUCUCUGGCCACUGGAUCAUAAAGUUUUAUUGCAGAAUAAACACAGGGCACUCAAGGAAAAGCA